AGGAAUUCGAGAGUUCGUACGGCAAACGAGGACAGAAAGAUUAAGUCUUGGAAAAAAUGUCCCAUAUGCAAGAUGUAUGUCAAAAAGAUGAAUUAAUCUAUUUGUACCAAAUAGUUUACAUAAUGGUUUAUAGAAUUGACAAGUGACAGCUCCCUACUGGAGGGGCCACUAUUAGGUAAACCAUUUGGUAGUUGUAACAUCUUCCCAAAAAGAUUGAUGGUUGUAUACAAAUUACAUGCAGGUGCAAAUACGAAUUUUGCUACCAAUGCGGAUCAAAGUGGAAUGGAUCACAUUCUCGUUGCCGCGGGAAGUUUAAUCAGCAAAAGUGGUUUACAGGGCUUUUAAAUCAAUCACAAGC
rnacentral:lncRNA from 1 species